rnacentral:rRNA from 1 species
UACAGAGGUCUCAAGCGUUGUUCGGAUUCAUUGGGCGUAAAGGGCGCGUAGGCGGUUUGUACAGUCAGACGUGAAAUUCCUGGGCUCAACCUGGGGGCUGCGUUUGAUACGUGCAGACUUGAGUUCGGAAGAGGGUCGUGGAAUUCCCAGUGUAGAGGUGAAAUUCGUAGAUAUUGGGAAGAACACCGGUGGCGAAGGCGGCGACCUGGUCCGAUACUGACGCUGAGGCGCGAAAGCGUGGGGAGCAAACAGG